rnacentral:rRNA from 1 species
UCAGGCCUAACACAUGCAAGUCGAACGCCCAGCAAUGGGAGUGGCAGACGGGUGAGGAACACGUGGGAACGUGCCUUUUGGUUCGGAAUUACUCAGGGAAACUUGUGCUAAUACCGGAUAAGCCCUUCGGGGGAAAGAUUUAUCGCCAAAAGAUCGGCCCGCGUCUGAUUAGCUAGUUGGUGAGGUAACGGCUCACCAAGGCGACGAUCAGUAGCUGGUCUGAGAGGAUGAUCAGCCACACUGGGACUGAGACACGGCCCAGACUCCUACGGGAGGCAGCAGUGGGGAAUAUUGGACAAUGGGGGCAACCCUGAUCCAGCCAUGCCGCGUGAGUGAAGAAGGUCUUCGGAUUGUAAAGCUCUUUGGCGGGACG